UCAGUUUCUUGCCUUUCUUGAGGGCAAGUUUGUUCUUCACAUGACCACGCUUCCUCUUCGCCGUCUGAAGAAAUGAAAUCAUAAUAACAUUUAGAUGAGACAGUAGAUCAGUCCAGAAAACCUAUAUCCCUCAAACCCUGGGCAUUUAGCACUCUAAUAGGUUAACCCUGGGCAUUUAGCACUCUAAUAGGUUAACCCUGGGCAUUUAGCACUCUGAUAGGUUAACCCUGGGCAUUUAGCACUCUGAUAGGUUAACCCUGGGCAUUUAGCACUCUAAUAGGUUAACCCUGGGCAUUUAGCACUCUAAUAGGUUAACCCUAGGCAUUUAGCACUCUGAUAGGUUAACCCUAGGCAUUUAGCACUCUGAUAGGUUAACCCUAGGCAUUUAGCAGUCUGAUAGGUUAGAUGGAAUUUUAGCCUCGUGUUUUAUACAUGAUCAAGGGUACAAGGAUGAAGGGAGGGAGUAAUUGAUUCUGGACAAGGUUGAAGGGAGGGGGUAAUUGAUUCUGGACAAGGAUGAAGGGAGGGGGUAAUUGAUUCUGGAUAAGGACAAGGAUGAAGGGAGGGGGUAAUUGAUUCUGGAUAAGGACAAGGAUGAAGGGAGGGGGUAGUUGAUUCUGGACAAGGACAAGGAUGAAGGGAGGGGGUAAUUGAUUCUGGACAAGGAUGAAGGGAGGGAGGUAAUUGAUUCUGGACAAGGACAAGGAUGAAGGGAGGGGGUAAUUGAUUCUGGAC
ensembl:lncRNA